GGGUGCUAUAAACAGUUUCGUAUAAAAAACUAGGGGUUAUUCCCCGACUAAAAAUAACCAUGGAGGGAAACCCCUGUUUAUUUACUCAAUUGGUGAAAAAGUAUCAUGUUUUUUGUAUUUAAUUGUAAAAAUUAGUUAAUUAGCUUUCAAUUAAAACAGGUUGAAUGAUUGAAAUAAUUUUAAAAAUUAUAUUAACUUUACAUGUUUUGAGGGGAGACAACACUGUAAACAUCCUAUUUUUUUGGCAGUGAAAAUUGAAAACUUAUUUGCAGCCACUGUAGCUCUUUUUGGAGCAGGAAACCGUACCCUGAAACAAGAUUUUUUUGAAAGGCCAGGUAAAAACCUACAAAUUUCAUACAGUUUUGAUUAUGUAAAAUGUGCAUGGAUCAUGUCUUCAUGGGUGUGCACAUGACCUGGUUUCAAGUUUUUUAUGUUCAAAUUAGACCUUUUUCCCCCCAUGUUCAUUGGAUGGAAUAUUUUUAAUAUAUUAAAAGUACACAUUAUUUUUAUUUUAUUAUAAACUAGAGAACAUUCUGAUUCCAGUGAUAUCUAGUUUUAUACAAGUAUCUUUAUUAAUCAGUCCACCACUAAGGGUCACUUAUGCAUGGUCCCUCAAAAUGUGAC
rnacentral:lncRNA from 1 species